CUUUCCACGUUAAAGGCUCCCAUACCGUAGGUGCCCAAGGCAGGCUGAGCCCUGGGAGCGGAAACCCGGGCACCUCCUUCCUUUCCCACCCGCAGAGGCAGGCGCCUGUGCGCCCCUGCACGCCCCCGCACGCCUUCUCUGCGACUGUGCACUCUGAGACUCCUCUCCGCAGUCGACAUGGAAAAAAAAAAAAAACACCAGAACUAGGAAGCGACAGGCUCACUGCCUCCUGACCCUGAUGCCAGAGAUGUAUCCAGGUCUGUUCCAAUGCCCAUCAUCAGCACCCACCUUCCAGCCAUGGCCAGGUAAUGAUACCUGUAAAAUCGCCGGGCGCGGUGGCUCACGCCCGUAAUCGCAGCACUUUGGGAGGCUGAGGUAGGAGGAUCACCUGAGGUCAGGAGUUCGAGACCAGCCUGGCCAACACGGUGAAACCCCAUGUCUUCUAAAAGUACAAAAAUUAGUCAGGCAUGGUGCCAUGCACCUCUAAUCUCAGCUACUCAGGAGGCUGAGGCAGAAUCAUUUGAACCCAGGAGGUGGAGGCUGCAGUGAGCUGAGAUCACACCAUUGCACUCCAGCCUGGGUGACAGAGUAAGACUCCUUCUCAAAAAAAAAAGAAAGAUAGGGAAGAUUUGUUAGUAGUCUGUGAGUUCCACAGUUAUGUCAAGCACAUUAAAAAUUCCUUAAAUUCCUA
rnacentral:lncRNA from 10 species